UACGUAGGUGGCAAGCGUUGUCCGGAAUUAUUGGGCGUAAAGCGCGCGCAGGCGGUCUCUUAAGUCUGAUGUGAAAGCCCCCGGCUCAACCGGGGAGGGUCAUUGGAAACUGGGAGACUUGAGUGCAGAAGAGAAGAGUGGAAUUCCACGUGUAGCGGUGAAAUGACGUAGAGAUGUGGAGGAACACCAGUGGCGACGAGGCUGAUCUC
rnacentral:rRNA from 1 species